UACGUAGGUGGCAAGCGUUAUCCGGAUUUAUUGGGCGUAAAGGGAACGCAGGCGGUCUUUUAAGUCUGAUGUGAAAGCCGUCGGCUUAACCGGAGUAGUGCAUUGGAAACUGGGAGACUUGAGCGCAGAAGAGGAGAGUGGAACUCCAUGUGUAGCGGUGAAAUGCGUAGAUAUAUGGAAGAACACCAGUGGCGAAAGCGGCUCUCUGGUCUGUAACUGACGCUGAGGUUCGAAAGCGUGGGUAGCAAACAGG
rnacentral:rRNA from 1 species